rnacentral:lncRNA from 1 species
AGAGGCAUCAAGAGAACUUUUGAUGAAGCUCUGUGAAAGAUGGGGAACCAACAAUUGUGCUAUAUAGUGUAGCAUGUUGAUUCCUACUGAAAGGACAGUAGAAAAGAGCAGAGAAACAUUAUGAAAAUAAAUAUAUUUGUUCGUGUAAAGUUUGUUUGGAAACUACCAGUGUGUUUCAAGAAAAAUUAACUGCCUAUUAAAAGUUACUCUCCUUAUUAAGAGGCUCUUAUUUUUCUCUUUGCACAAAUGCAGUUCCUUGCCCAUACCCAAUACAAAUAUCAGACAUUACUCUGCAUGCCUGUUGCACUGGGUGAACUCAUUAUGAAUGAAUAUUUUGCGUGUAACCAUUACCUUGCUUGGUGAAAGUUCC